AACAGGAUUAGAUACCCUGGUAGUCCACGCCGUAAACGAUGUCGACUUGGAGGUUGUUCCCUUGAGGAGUGGCUUCCGGAGCUAACGCGUUAAGUCGACCGCCUGGGGAGUACGGCCGCAAGGUUAAAACUCAAAUGAAUUGACGGGGGCCCGCACAAGCGGUGGAGCAUGUGGUUUAAUUCGAUGCAACGCGAAGAACCUUACCUACUCUUGACAUCCAGCGAACUUAGCAGAGAUGCUUUGGUGCCUUCGGGAACGCUGAGACAGGUGCUGCGUGGCUGUCGUCAGCUCGUGUUGUGAAAUGUUGGGUUAAGUCCCGCAACGAGCGCAACCCUUAUCCUUUGUUGCCAGCGAUUCGGUCGGGAACUCAAAGGAGACUGCCGGUGAUAAACCGGAGGAAGGUGGGGAUGACGUCAAGUCAUCAUGGCCCUUACGAGUAGGGCUACACACGUGCUACAAUGGCGCAUACAAAGAGAAGCGACCUCGCGAGAGCAAGCGGACCUCACAAAGUGCGUCGUAGUCCGGAUCGGAGUCUGCAACUCGACUCCGUGAAGUCGGAAUCGCUAGUAAUCGUGGAUCAGAAUGCCACGGUGAAUACGUUCCCGGGCCUUGUACACACCGCCCGUCACACCAUGGGAGUGGGUUGCAAAAGAAGUAGGUAGCUUAACCUUCGGGAGGGCGCUUACCACUUUGUGAUUCAUGACUGGGGUGAAGUCGUAACAAGGUAACC
rnacentral:rRNA from 1 species